AAGAUCCAAAGUGGGUAGAAUCAUGGCUUUCCUUUCGUUUCUAACCGAGGGCCAGACAAUCUUCCAAAAUUGGACUUUCCUUUCCAAUAUGUCCAAGAUAUACCAAGCAUCUGCAGAAUGGUGGAAAAGCGGAGAACACAGUGAAGAUCUACCUGGUGAAUUUGUCCCAGUUCAUGGUCUACUUCAGGGACACUCCUCCAUGUACGUCCAGGGUUCCAAGAAGAGAAGUGUUUGCCGUGAUUCGUGCUAUCUCAGAGUGUAUUGCCAGCCUGGCUCCAUGUGUAGUCAUGCGUCAGAUAAGUGUGAAGAAAAAGAAGUUGAGCAGAACAAUCUCCAAACAUCAGCUUCACCUCUGUAAAGUCCAGGCCAGGAGACGCAUCCCUAAACUUCUUGACGGACUGUCUGAGGACCCCAACCCGGAGGCGCGAAGAAUGUUUUUUUGGCUAUCUAAGUGUUUACCUAGCAAGCCUGUAUGGACACCUGCACCGGUGUUCUAAAGA